GAUAUGAUCGACAACUAGUGUUGAAUGAGGAUCUGAAUUUUGUGUCCAUGCAGGGCCUUGAUCUUCCUGAUAUUCUUGUCGAAAUUGAAAAGCGUGGGUCAUCUUUUGCCAAAUUGUUGACUAUCCCAGAACAGGAUGACUGGGUUUAUAGUGAUGGCAAAUCAACAUCUUGUAUUGCUUUUGUUCUUGAAAUGUACAAGGAAGCAGGACUAUUUGGUCCACUUGCAAGUUCAAUUCAGGUUACAGAAUUCACG
rnacentral:misc_RNA from 1 species